UCAAACUUGAGAGUUUGAUCCUGGCUCAGAACGAACGCUGGCGGCAUGCCUAACACAUGCAAGUCGAACGAGAUCUUCGGAUCUAGUGGCGCACGGGUGCGUAACGCGUGGGAAUCUGCCCUAGGGUGCGGAAUAACUCGGAGAAAUUCGUGCUAAUACCGCAUAAUGUCGUAAGACCAAAGAUUUAUCGCCCUGGGAUGAGCCCGCGUAGGAUUAGCUUGUUGGUGAGGUAAAAGCUCACCAAGGCGACGAUCCUUAGCUGGUCUGAGAGGAUGAUCAGCCACACUGGGACUGAGACACGGCCCAGACUCCUACGGGAGGCAGCAGUA
rnacentral:rRNA from 1 species